rnacentral:tRNA from 1 species
GCCAGAGUAACUUAGGACUUUAAGAACCAGUUCUGGAAUCAAGUAACCUGGGUUCAAACCCAGCUCUGGCA